rnacentral:rRNA from 1 species
UACGGGGGGGGCAAGCGUUGUUCGGAAUUACUGGGCGUAAAGGGCUCGUAGGUGGCCAACUAAGUCAGACGUGAAAUCCCUCGGCUUAACCGGGGAACUGCGUCUGAUACUGGAUGGCUUGAGUUCGGGAGAGGGAUGCGGAAUUCCAGGUGUAGCGGUGAAAUGCGUAGAUAUCGGGAGGAACACCGGUGGCGAAGGCGGCGACCUGGGUUGACAUUGACGCUGAGGCGCGAAAGCGUGGGGAGCAAACAGG